AUGACAUAUUUCAAAUUUCAAGACCAGCACCUGUAGUAUAAAAUAGGAGACUAUCUGGCUUUGGCAUCAUAAGUCAUCAUUACACUUACUGAAACCUGUUCGGUGAUAUUUAUUUUUGUUAAUUUCAAAAUAAACGUUUUUUGAAAUUAUGAAGCCAAUUGUUGCUGUUUUUUUCGCUCUAGCGGCUCUCUGUGCCACUAUCAAUUUCGUAGAAUCGACAAUUUGCGCUUAUGACCAACGUUCUGGCAAUGGCCAAAACUUUGAUAACAUUGACGCGAUGAACGCAGAAAACGCCAGAGGUGGACGUUAUCUUUUCUGGUACAACGGACCUUGCUAAAGGCUGUUAAAAACGCUCCGCUACGUUAUCAAUGUUACAACUAACUGCAAGUAAUGAAAAAAAUUAAUAGAUUAGAAAACCAAACUCGAAACUAUCAAUAGAAAUCAUGUAUUAUGUGAAAUUGUAAUAAUAAUAAACUUAAUUCUUCAAUUUCAA